rnacentral:rRNA from 1 species
UGAAUACGAGACGCUAAGGCGUUGAAGUAGUGUAUGUCAUACUUCCAAGAAAAGCUUGCACUGUCAUAGAUAAAAAACGCCUGUACCAUAACCGACACAGGUGGGUAGGUAGAGUAUACUAAGGGGCGCGAGAUAACUCUCUCUAAGGAACUCGGCAAAAUAACUCCGUAACUUCGGGAGAAGGAGUGCCUUAUUUAUAAGGCUGCAAUAACAAGAUCCAAGCAACUGUUUAUCAAAAACACAGGUCUCCGCUAAGUCGUAAGACGAUGUAUGGGGGCUGACGCCUGCCCAGUGCCAGAAGGUUAAAGAAGUUGGUUAGCAAUAGCGAAGCUGAUAACUGAAGCCCUGGUGAACGGCGGCCGUAACAAUAACGGUCCUAAGGUAGCGAAAUUCCUUGUCGGGUAAGUUCCGACCCGCACGAAAGGCGUAAUGAUUUGGAUACUGUCUCGGAGAGGGGCUCGGUGAAAUAGACUUGUCUGUGAAGAUGCGGACUACCUGCACCAGGACAGAAAGACCCUAUGAAGCUUUACUGUAACUUGAAAUUGAAAUUGGACUUUAUUCGCGCAGUAUAGGUGGGAGGCGUUGAUUGUAAUCUUGCGGGAUUAUUGGAGCCAUCAGUGAGAUACCACCCUUGUAAUGUUAGAUUUCUAACUUUGAAUCAUUAUCUGGUCAAAGAACAGUUUCAGGCGGGCAGUUUGACUGGGGCGGUCGCCUCCUAAACGGUAACGGAGGCGUACAAAGGUUUCCUCUGAACGGUUAGAAAUCGUAUCUAGAGUGUAAAGGCAUAAGGAAGCUUGACUGUGAGACCUACAAGUCGAGCAGGGACGAAAGUCGGUCUUAGUGAUCUGACGGUACUGAGUGGAAAGGCCGUCACUCAACGGAUAAAAGUUACUCUAGGAUAACAGGCUGAUCUCCCCCAAGAGUUCACAUCGACGGGGAGGUUUGGCACCUCGAUGUCGGCUCAUCGCAUCCUGGGGCGGUAGUACGUCCCAAGGGUUGGGCUGUUCGCCCAUGAAAGCGGUACGCGAGCUGGGUUCAGAACGUCGUGAGACAGUUCGGUCCAUAUCCGGUGUAGGCGUUAGAAUAUUGAGAGGAGCCUUCUUUAGUACGAGAGGACCGAGAAGGACAUACCUCUGGUGUACCAGUUAUCGUGCCAACGGUAAACGCUGGGUAGCUAUGUAUGGAGUGGAUAACCGCUGAAAGCAUCUAAGUGGGAAGCCCACCUCAAGAUAAGUAUUCCC